rnacentral:misc_RNA from 1 species
GAUGAAGAACGUAGCGAAAUGCGAUACUUGGUGUGAAUUCAGAAUCCCGUGAACCAUCGAGUCUUUGAACGCAAGUUGCGCCCGAAGCCACUAGGCCGAGGGCACGCCUGCCUGGGCGUCACACGCCGUUGCCCCCCCAUCUACUCCUUCGGGAUUGCGGGGGGGCGGAUGAUGGCCUCCUGUGCGCCUAGCCGCGCGGUUGGCAUAAAUACCAAGUCCUCGGCGACGCACGCCACGACAAUCGGUGGUUGCGAAACCUCGGUUGCCCGUCGUGUGCGUUCGUCGCGCAUCGAGGGCUCGAAAAAAUGCUCGGCUCCGGCUGGGCUUUCAACGCGACCCCAGGUCAGGCGGGGUUACCCGCUGAAUUUAAGCAUAUCAAUAAGCGGAGGA